AAAGGUUUAAUAGUUCAUAAUAUAAUAAUCAAUAAUUAUGUGAGAAAUAUUAAAUAUUAUUUCUAUUAAACAAAAUUUACAUAGACAUAAUAAUAUGCAUUAGAUAAUCAUUCUAAUAUCCUGAUCAUGAAAUGCAGGUAUAAAAUAGAAAUCUGGUCUGGUUUCGAGCAUGGUUUAGUUAGAUGUUCAAAAUGAUGAAUACGAAAGUUUAAUUAAUCGAUUGGAUGCACUGAAUCGUUAAUUCGUUAUGAAAAGUUUAUGAAAUAAACGUAUAUGUUAUUUUGUAACUGGACGAUAUGUCCGAUGUUAUUGAUAGAGACAAAAAAUAAAAAAAAAAAUUGUUUUAUAUGAUAUUACUAAAAUCGAAAAACAAAGAAAAUUUUAAGGACACGUGAAUUUUUCGAAUGAUAUACAGAUUUUUUUAUAAAAAGUUAGUCAAAAUUUUGAAAAAUAAAAAAUAUAUUGCGAUAAAUUGUUUUUACGAUAAAUAUUUAUUGAAAAUGUUAAUUUAUUAUGUUCAUUUUUCUCUAAUCUAAUCAUCAAUACGAUUGAUUCAAUUCACGUAUCCUUUUAAUUUCUUCAUUCUCCGAAUAGUAAACCCUAUAGAAAUACGAUGUAGUUUACAAAACUGUGAUGAAAUCUUUUGUCAAUCACAUGUAUAUAUAUUGUCAAUAUCUUUUUUAAACAUCUCAGAGGUACUCACAUACUGCUCAAACAUAACGUACCCCAAGCUAGAAUUAAUACCGAAAAAAUGCUUUGUAGCGCCCCCGUUAUGUUCACUUAGAAUUAAACGCUUUCAAAAAUUCGCGCCAUCCUUCAAUACUUCGAUAGUCAUAUGAACUAUCACAUCUAUACUAGAUAAUAGUAGUAUAAUAAUAGAUGAUAGUAAAUAUUGAAUAAAAUAAAACGUUUGCAAAUUCAUAAUAUUGGGAAUGAAUUUGUUUCGCUUAUAUGUAUAUAAUUGAAUAACUUAUAUGACUUUAAAAUAGCUUGUUAUGAUUAAACAUUAAUAAUUUUCUUUUGAUGGCAAAACUAUUUUCAUAAGCGAUAUGUAUUGAAUCAUGCGAGAGGAUGUAAUCGAUAAAUCGUUUGAAGGUUAUUACGAUUGUAUUCUGAAUUUUGUUGAAAAAUUCGCGUAAUGAGAUUAUUACCCUGAUAUUCGUGCAGAUAAAUAGAAAUGAGGAAACAGAACAGGAAUUUUAAUUUGCUUCGAGUAUGUCUACAAUUCUGUGAUUUUUCGAUGGUACGCAAUCACGGAUUUUUCGAAAAUAGCACCAUUUCUAUAGUAAUAAUUUUCAAGAACGAUGGGAUCAAUCCGUGGAACCGUGGACAACAUCACUGCUCUCCAUUCGCCAUGAUGCUACACCGCCGCCCCCGCGCGUUCUGUGUACAGCAGCCACCGAUAGAGGCGACGGUGGUAGCAGGUGGUAGUAGCCAGUGACUUCAAAGAUACGGAUUCAGACACAAUGCUCGACUCGACCCACAUUCCAUCGAAGGUGUAAGGACAUGAUCAAUUGGGUCACAAAAAAACCGGUGUUGAUAUUUUCAAGUUCCUUCGUUAGAUUCUUACAAUUGGUUAAUAAUCAAAUAUUAAUCAAAAAUAGUAACGCAAUCUGUUGUGGAUUACGGUAAUUUUUAAGAUUACUUGCGGAUUGUAUUGCCAAGGAUGAUAAUGUCUUUUUAUGGAAAAAAAUCAAACGAUUACGUGGAAAAAUUAUUUCUUAUAUUUUUUUUCUCUGUUAAUUUUUUUUUUAUUUUUAUAUUUCAGAAUGGAAAGAUUGCAAAUUUUC